GAUGAAGAACGUAGCGAAAUGCGAUAAGUAAUGUGAAUUGCAGAAUUCAGUGAAUCAUCGAAUCUUUGAACGCACCUUGCACCCUUUGGUAUUCCGAAGGGUAUGCUCGUUUGAGUGUCAUUGUACUCUCACACUUCUAAUUCCUUUCGGGAUUGGGAGCGGUGGACUUGGGUGUUGCUGCUUUAGUUGUGGCUCACCUCAAAUAAGUUAGUGCAACUCUUGGUUGGACAUAGUACGGCGUGAUAAGUGUCUUCGCCGGCGCCUCUGUAAGGAGGGUGGCCGAUCGGGAGCUCUGUGCUUCAAACCGUCUUCGGACAAUCUUUGACAACUUGACCUCAAAUCGAGUAGGACUACCCGCUGAACUUAAGCGUAUCAAUAAGCGGAGGA
rnacentral:misc_RNA from 1 species